GGCCGCAGUAAACUGACUGUGCUAAGGUAGCAAAAUCAUUAGCUUUUUUAUUGAAGCCUGUAUACAAGAUCUGACAAAGAAAACUCUGUCUUAAUAAAGUAAAUAUAAUUUUAUUUUAAAGUAAAAAGGCUUUAAAAUCUUAAUAGGACGAUAAGACCCUAAAAUCUGUUAACUAAUAUUAUGCAAUAAUUAAGAUACAUUUAUCAAAUAAUAGUAAUAGAAGUUAAUUUACUGGGGCGGUAAUUAUAAAAUAAACUAUAAACACAACUACAUUCUGAAUGUAUCUUAAAUAACCUUUAUGAAUAAAAUAAGAUACUUUAGGGAUAACAGCAUAAUAUAUUUUAAGAGUCCUUAUCACCAAAUAUGUUUAUGACCUCGAUGUUGAAUUGAGAUUUCUACUCCUAGCAGAAUAGGUUUAUAGGAAGUCUGUUCGACUUUUAAUUUCUCACAUGAUUUGAGUUCAACCGGCG
rnacentral:rRNA from 1 species